rnacentral:rRNA from 1 species
UACGGGGAGGCAGCAGUGGGGGAAGUAUUGGACAAUGGGGGGAACCCGUGAUCCAGCCAUGCCGCGUGUGUGAAGAAGGCCUUAUGGUUGUUAAAGCACUUUAAGCGAGGAGGAGGCUACUGAGACUAAUACUCUUGGAUAGUGGACGUUACUCGCAGAUAAGCACCGGCUAACUCUGUGCCAGCAGCCGCGGUAAUACAGAGGGUGCGAGCGUUAAUCGGAUUUACUUGGGCGUAAAGACGUGCGUAGGCGGCGUUUUAAGUUCGGAUGUGAAAUCCCCGAGCUUAACUUGGGAAUUGCAUUCGAUACUGGGAAGCUAGAGUAUGGGAGAGGAUGGUAGAAUUCCAGGUGUAGCGGUGAAAUGCGUAGAGAUCUGGAGGAAUACCGAUGGCGAAGGCAGCCAUCUGGCCUAAUACUGACGCUGAGGUACGAAAGCAUGGGGAGCAAACAGGAUUAGAUACCCUGGUAG